GACGAACGCUGGCGGCGUGCUUAACACAUGCAAGUCGAGCGGUAAGGCCCUUUCGGGGGUACACGAGCGGCGAACGGGUGAGUAACACGUGGGUGACCUGCCCUCAGCUCUGGGAUAAGCCUGGGAAACUGGGUCUAAUACUGGAUAUGACUCCACGGUGCAUGUCGUGGGUGGAAAGCCUUGUGCGGCUGAGGAUGGGCCC
rnacentral:rRNA from 1 species